AUUUUUCAAACUACAAAUCUCUUACUGUAUUUCUAUUUUUGUGAAAGUUCAAACAAAGUGCCUCUACGUGAUAUGUGACCAUAACCUGAUUCAGUUUUGUAAUAUGUUUGUUUUGCUGUAACAUGAUUCUCCCAAUGUCCUGCAGGCUAAAAGUACACGCAUCACAUGGGAUCUGAGGAUAAACAAGUGAUCAAGAAGUGAAUAUUCUGAGCUGAAAACACCCUGCAACAGGCCUCAACACAUUUCAGUUCACUGACCUAGAUAAUUAUGACUGUCUGAGAACAGGUUUCUGUUGCACCCCUUCCAUCAUCCCUUUUCCUGUCUGCAGUAUCUACACAAAGGUACUGUUGUUUUCAUUGCUUAUUUUUCUUUUUGUAGUAAUAGCACACUUUUGAAAUGCAGAGAAGAUAAUUCUGAAUUUGAUUACUGAUGUAUGCUGUGAUAAAAUGGUCCCUGUUUUGCUUUGUACCUGUUUGCUAAUGUUCCAUUGUCCUUCUGGCCACAAACUAGCUCUUUGCUGUUUGUUUCCAUAGAACUAUUUGUAGUGAGGCUAAGACACCUUUCUUAGCGUCAUAGAGAGCAU
rnacentral:lncRNA from 1 species